rnacentral:lncRNA from 1 species
AGAAGACCACUGACGAGUGAGUAGACAUCCAAAUAGUUUCUCGUAUUGAUCAUGCUCAGUAUAAGUUAUUCUCUAACAACCACCUGCACUUUCAUCAUAGUGUUCCUGCACCACAGACUUAAGACUCAUCUGUUCAGAAGAGAAGUGAUCCAUGCACCGAUCUUAAAUAGAUUGAUUGCUAUCCUCCGGGAUGAUCCUA